UUUUUUUUUUUUUCUGGCAAUAAGGUCUUUAAUAAUUUAAAACACAACUGCUAGUAUGUUUUGUAAAGCCAUUUCAAGUUUAUAAAGUGGUCAAAAUCAUUUCUAUCCGCAUUAUGCAGAAUUAGCUAUUAUUCACUUAUUAUCUUCACAUUCUGUAUGAUUCAUAACUUAUAAUAAAAAAGCUUUACCUAACAUAUGGAAAUGGCAACUCAGUGUUACUAAUUUAUUGAAUGAUAAUCAAAGUGGACCUUAUCAUAUUUUUCUUAUUGGGCUAGGUUUUGGAGGCUAUCAUUACCACUUGGAGAAACAACUGAUCAUCCACUUGUGAACCCAUUUGGGCCCAUGAGCCCGAAUCUGGAGACAAUGGGCCUUGACCCAAUUCUAGUUGUGGUUGGAGGAUCUGAUUUGUUGAAAGAUAGAGCUGAAGAGUAUGCAAAGAAAUUGAAAAACUGGGGAAAGAAGAUGAAAAACUGGGGAAAGAAGAUUGAAUAUGCAGAAUUUGAAGGGCAGCAGCAUGGCUUCUUCACCAUUAAUCCCAAUUCAGAACCAUCAAACGAGUUAAUGAUACUUAUCAAGAAGUUUAUUGCACAAAAUUCUGUCUAAUUUUUAUUUUAAGAAAAUGUUUUGUUUAUUGUACUUUGGAUUAUUUGAAAUGACGUUGCAAUACUAAGAGAGUUGCUUCUAUUAUCGCUUGUUUUACCAUUAUUAUAUUGUAUGACUUUCGAGGACUUCUCUUUUGUGAAGUUGAAUAAUAUGAGUACAAA
rnacentral:lncRNA from 1 species